CGGCCCAGGGCUCGAGCCUUGCUCCCGCGCGCGGAGCUCGCCGUCCCGCACCCCGAGAGAGCGGGCGGAGGCCAAGGCUCUUGGGAGAAAGCCCCCCCGUCCCCCUCCCUCCAGGGUCGAAGAGAAAGCUUGGGAACGGCCCCGCCCAGCCUCGGAGCCCGGGUCCAGGCUGCAUCAGCAGGGGGGCCAGGGUAGGCGACAAGGUGUGUCCUUGACCGAAAUCUUCGCGGGUCUUUGUCGACCAAAAUCAGCCAAGUGGGAAAACUGCAGCUGCGCCCAAAGAGG